GCACUGAAGAGUGCGGCGACACUACAGAGCUGUGAACGAAGACGGUGAACGGCGAGAUGUGGUGACCGCUUGACUGACCUGUGCCCAAAGUCGUGAUCUACCGCUGGGGUCAGUGCGUGAGAAGCUGGACUCGGCACCAACGGAGGACGCAGCUCGACGAGGAAUAUAUGCUGUGUUGAGGGACGUCUGCCGGUUACGACCGGAAGGUUUCCGACGGGACUUGGCAGAACCCACAACAGCAGUAUGAACCCGGCGUGGACGUAAUUGCUCGCAUGAGCAACCGUAGAGCGACUUCCAGGCGAAGCUGCCGCAGAAUUCCUGGAGAUGCGCUGGUACAUGGAUCAUAGCAAGGUGGCUCUCAGCGGCAGCUGACCGCUGAGAUGUGUCUGAAACAGCCAGAAGGAAGACUCGAGUUGUGGAUCCAGGGCACUACUGAACGGAAGGCCGGACCAGCUGUAGGGAGACUACAGAAAAGCCGUCGUUCUCAAUCUGCUGAACAGACUCCUACUGCAGAG
rnacentral:lncRNA from 1 species